CAAAGCUUUGGUCCUGACUUUACAUUCAGCUUCAACCAAAUUUAUACAUGCAAGUCUCCGCACUCCUGUGAGGAUGCCCUUUACCCUCCGCCCGGGGGCAAGGAGCUGGUAUCAGGCACGCACAAAGCAGCCCAGGACACCUUGUUUAGCCACACCCCCAAGGGUACUCAGCAGUGAUAGACAUUAAGCAAUAAGCGAAAGCUUGACUAGGUUACGGUUUUUAGGGCCGGUAAAUCUCGUGCCAGCCACCGCGGUUAAACGGGUGGCCCAAGUUGAAAAUCUCCGGCGUAAAGAGUGGUUAGGGAAACAAAAAACUAAAGUCGAACACCCUCCAGGCCGUGAUACGCUUCCGAGGGCAUGAAGCCCCGCUACGAAAGUGGCUUUAAUACACCUGAACCCACGACAACUAAGACACAAACUGGGAUUAGAUACCCCACUAUGCUUAGCCGUAAACUUUGAUAUUAACUUACCCCUAAUAUCCGCCAGGGGACUACAAGCGUUAGCUUAAAACCCAAAGGACCUGGCGGUGCCUCACACCCACCUAGAGGAGCCUGUUCUUGAAUCGAUAAUCCCCGUUCAACCUCACCACCCCUUGUUCAACCCGCCUAUAUACCGCCGUCGUCAGCUCACCCUGUGAAGGCCUUAAAGUGAGCAAAAUGGGCAAAACCCAAAACGUCAGGUCAAGGUGCAGCGUAUGCGGUGGGAAGAAAUGGGCUACAUUGCCUGCUCCAGGCUAUUACGGAAGGGGUUAUGAAACUAACCCCCGAAGGUGGAUUUAGCAGUAAGGAGAAAAUAGAGAGUUCUUCUGAGCCGGCUCUGAGGCGCGCACAUACCGCCCGUCACUCUCUCCGAAUUCACUCAACAUAGUCCUUAACAAGACAACCGAACAAAGGGGAGGCAAGUCGUAACAUGGUAAGUGUACCGGAAGGUGCACUUGGGACAAC
rnacentral:ncRNA from 1 species